rnacentral:rRNA from 1 species
GAUGAACGCUGGCGGCGUGCCUAACACAUGCAAGUCGAGCGCGUCUGAUUUGAUGCUUGCAUUGAUGAAAGAUGAGCGGCGGACGGGUGAGUAACGCGUGGGUAACCUGCCCUAUACACAUGGAUAACAUACUGAAAAGUUUACUAAUACAUGAUAAUAUAUAUUUACGGCAUCGUAGAUAUAUCAAAGUGUUAGCGGUAUAGGAUGGACCCGCGUCUGAUUAGCUAGUUGGUGAGAUAACUGCCCACCAAGGCGACGAUCAGUAGCCGACCUGAGAGGGUGAUCGGCCACAUUGGAACUGAGACACGGUCCAAACUCCUACGGGAGGCAGCAGUGGGGAAUAUUGCACAAUGGGCGCAAGCCUGAUGCAGCAACGCCGCGUGAACGAUGAAGGUCUUCGGAUCGUAAAGUUCUGUUGCAGGGGAAGAUAAUGACGGUACCCUGUGAGGAAGCCCCGGCUAACUACGUGCCAGCAGCCGCGGUAAUACGUAGGGGGCUAGCGUUAUCCGGAUUUACUGGGCGUAAAGGGUGCGUGGGUGGUCUUUCAAGUCGGUGGUUAAAGGCUACGGCUCAACCGUAGUUAGCCUCCGAAACUGGAAGACUUGAGUGCAGGAGAGGAAAGUGGAAUUCCCAGUGUAGCGGUGAAAUGCGUAGAUAUUGGGAGGAACACCAGUAGCGAAGGCGGCUUUCUGGACUGCAACUGACACUGAGGCACGAAAGCGUGGGUAGCAAACAGGAUUAGAUACCCUGGUAGUCCACGCUGUAAACGAUGAGUACUAGGUGUCGGGGGUUACCCCCCUCGGUGCCGCAGCUAACGCAUUAAGUACUCCGCCUGGGGAGUACGCACGCAAGUGUG